rnacentral:misc_RNA from 1 species
AACGCACGAGACCUGCGGACCUGCGGAGGGAUCGUUAGUGAACGCCCUCACGGGCUUAUAACUAUUCCAAACCUCUGUGAACCGUGCCCUUCGGGGCUAUUUUACAAACAUGGUGUAAUGAACGUCAUAUAUCAUAACAAAACAAAACUUUUAACAACGGAUCUCU